rnacentral:rRNA from 1 species
AGGACGAACGCUGGCGGCGCGCUUAACACAUGCAAGUCGAGCGAGAACCUGGCCUUCGGGCCUGGGGAAAGCGGCGAACGGGUGAGUAACACGUGGGUAACCCACCCUUGGUACCGGGAUAGCCCGAGGAAACUCGGAUUAAUACCGGAUGGCCCAACAGCUCUUCGGGGCGGUUGGAAAAGGUAGCUUCGGCCUCCGACCAAGGACGGGCCCGCGGCGGAUUAGCUUGUUGGUGAGGUAACGGCUCACCAAGGCGACGAUCCGUAGCUGGUCUGAGAGGACGAUCAGCCACACUGGGACUGAGACACGGCCCAGACUCCUACGGGAGGCAGCAGUGGGGAAUCUUGCGCAAUGGGCGAAAGCCUGACGCAGCGACGCCGCGUGGGGGAAGAAGGCUUUCGGGUUGUAAACCCCUUUCAGGAAGGACGAAGCCACUCGGGUGAAUAGCCCAGAGGGUGACGGUACUUCCAGAAGAAGCCCCGGCUAACUACGCGCCAGCAGCCGCGGUAA